UUUCUUCAUCCCUCUUUUUCCCUUCAGUAGCGUUCAUUUCUUGAGAACCAUGGGCUCCCUUCCCUUUCUUCUCCAACUUGUGCUUUAUUUGAGCUUUUGUCCUCUUCACUACAGUGCUUCUCUUUUCUUCCAUAUUACCUGAAAAUAAAGAAAGCAAAGAUUAUAAACCCAAAUAGCAAUACAUAGAAAACCAGAAACUACCAUUGCUUGGUAAAAGCGACAAUGAUCAGGCAAACCAAUGAUAGACCUACAGACCUCCUAGAAAAAGAAACAAAUUAUGCAGAAGCUUAACUAUAGCUGCACUAUAAACUUCAACUCUAGCUAAAUAGUCCUUACCAUCAGGGUCUAGGAACACUAUUCUAAAAGGUGCAGGGGACAAGUCAUCUGCACAAACAACAAAAAUAAGAGAAAUUCUUUGCGUUCUAACUCAGCAAACCUCAUCCUAACUCCAGCUUAUACUAGAAAACUUUGAUUGUCAACCAUGAAACCAAAAUUUUCACUCAACAAAGUAUUGAAUUCCAUACAAACACACAGUUAUACACAGUAACAAUACUUUAAAGAUCAAAAAUACUAUUUUGGAGAAAAGAAAAACAAAGCUUUAAUGCCUCCUUAUAUUAAAGGAGGUUGUCCACUUUUAAUGAUCCUCUUCAUAAACUUACCAUUACACAUAUAAAUAAUUGUUUAGUUCAAUCAUCUACUAGCUAAAAAAUCUUAGACCAGAUUUGCCAACAGAUAAAGAUAAAAGAUAAAAAUAUCUUAGACCCAAAGGAGAAACAUGCUCUCAAAAUUCGAUACAGCUUCCUAGUGACUUGUGCAUCAUGGAAGUAAAUAUUGUGAAAAUCGAUCUUUUCUGGGGAAUUAAUUGUCUUUUUCAGAACCAGAGUACUUCACAAGCAAGCAUUUGACCUGAAAGCGAAAACCCAUGACAAAAAUGUUAACCAAGAUCUACUUUGUUCUUUUCUAUGAUAGCCCAUUGAUAUUGAUAAGAUCAAUCUACUUGCCCUGAUGACUUUCCAUUGCAGAUGAAGCCAAUAACAAACUAGCAUUUGGAAGCAAUACAUGGCCCUUUUGCAUUUACUAGCUCAAUAAUCUUAGACCAGAUUUCUCAAGAAAUAAAAAUGAAAAAUGACAAACAUAUCCUACAUAUCCUACACUACUGAGUAUUGACGUACCUUAUUUCUGAUAUGACGUGAAAAAGGCCUGAACACAAGCUUUCUGAGCACUGGAAAAUUAAGCACGUCUUCCAAGUUAGCCAAGUAGU
rnacentral:lncRNA from 1 species